UCUCCGUAGGUGAACCUGCGGAGGGAUCAUUACAGAGUUCAUGCCCUACCGGGUAGAUCUCCCACCCUAUGUUAUUAUUACUUUGUUGCUUUGGCGGGCCGUUAGGCUCCGGCCCGACUACCGGCCCCGGCUGGUAAGCGCCCGCCGGAGGACCCAAAACCCUGAAUAUUAGUGUCGUCUGAGUACUAUAUAAUAGUUAAAACUUUCAACAACGGAUCUCUUGGUUCUGACAUCGAUGAAGAACGCAGC
rnacentral:misc_RNA from 1 species